CCCGGUGGAGUUUCGUCUUUAAACGGUUGCUGUUUAGAGCAGUACGAAGGUAGCGCAGUAAAUCGUCCUUUGAUUUGGGAAUAGUAUGAAUGGCUUGACGUGAGGAGGUCUGUCUCGGACUCAUUUGUUGAUGUUUAUUUCUGUGUGAAAAGGCUCAGAUUUUUUCAUUAGACGAGAAGACCCCGUCGAGCUUGAUGGGGGCUGGGGUAUCGUUCUUAGUUCGAAGUUUAGCUGGGGUGACUUGAUGCAGAAUUAACGCAUUCGAAGUAUUAGGUGUGAAGAUCCUCUAUUAGGGACAUGAAGAAAAAGCUACCGCGGGGAUAACAGCGUAAUGUCCUUGGAAAGGUCUUAUUGAAGAGGGGUGUUGCGACCUCGAUGUUGAAUUAGGGUUUCGUCUUGGCGCAGCCGUUGAGAUAGUGGGACUGUUCGUCCUUUAAAAUUCUACGUGAUCUGA
rnacentral:rRNA from 1 species